GAGAGCCGGGCUCAGAGGGAAGGAGGCGGAGAGAGCGGGGCUCCCGGGGAAGGAGCAGCGAGAGCCGCGCUCGGGGGGAAGGAGCAGCGAGAGCCGCGCUCGGGGGGAAGGAGCAGCGAGAGCCGCGCUCGGGGGGAAGGAGGCGGGGAGAGCGGGGCUCAGAGAGGGAGGCAGCGAGGCCGCAGCUCAGCUCCCCGCGCUUCUGCUUCCAGCCCUCUUCCUCCGGGGAAAUUGAUGGACUCACUGUGCCCUGAAUGGACCCGGAGUGCCAACAGUUGACUCACAGCAUGGCUGUUCUCCUAUUUCCUAAUUGUCUGCUUAACCUGAGAGCUUUGAAACUUGACUAUGAUAUUCCUACUUUUGUAGAAUCAGAUCAUCCUCAACACUGCCCCAAUCCAUCUUUUGAGGCCACAAGCCAGGACCCCAGUGGAUCGAGAGCUGGUGCUUGAGGAUGAGGGUGCACUCAGUGGGGCCUUCUGAGAUGCUUCAGAGAAGGGAUCCCUUCUCUGCCACAGGGCCUGAUGAUGAACACCAACAAAAGAGAGGAAACAGUCCUUACCCAGGG